AGGGAACAGAGGGAGAGGCCGCCGGAGGAGACGGGGGAUCUCCCAGGAUAGGCAGUCCCACCAGAAGGAAGAGCGAUAGCAUCCUUUCCGGCCACAACAGGGGAGGCGGCUAUUGGCAGCCCGGGGAGCGCCGCCGCCCUGUCCCCAAGCCAGCUGUCUGUCCCACAACGGGGGGACGGAGAUAACCCGGAGACGCGGAGUGCGCGUCCCGCCCGCUGCCCCUCCCUCGUCCCUCGCGCAGCUCUGCCGCAGCCCCGCGGAACUCUGCGGGCCCUUCGCUGCCAGCCACCGCGGGAAAUGCCACGGGAGAAGACACUUCCCCUCUGAAGCUCUGUGCGCGACUUCCAUGAAGAAAUGGAAGGGAGUAAAGCCGAGGGUGACACAGCUGUAAAGUGACUCGAUUGUCACCCUGGGGAGACAGAGGACUCUCCUGAAACAGGGGAAGAAAAAAUAAGACACCGCUCCUCCCCCCCUCCCGCGAUCCCCCCGCCUCUUCGGAGCCUGAGCAACGACAAACUGAUUAAUCUUCCCAGGUCGCCCUCGCAAUCCCCGAGGGCCGCUCCGCUUAGCCGCCAUCCGCGGUCCGCGAACGUGCAAAUCCCCCGACUGCGGGGGCUCCGCUGCAGCCCAGGGAGGAGGAGGAAGGGCAGGUCGCCGGCGGCACUAUUUAGAACCACCGCCGCAACACUACUCCCAUUUGAGGCUGCAGGAACAGAGCCAAGAGGGAGAUCACCGGGCGCUUGGUUUUCUUUGGGUGUUUUCAGAUCUGUACAAACACUGGGCCUGCCGGUUUUUAUAAACAACUUUUGAGACGCAGUCAAUCAAUCAUACUGGCAAGCAAACAGACCAGGAGCCUAGGAUAUAUACAAGGCAUAAACAUAUACAUAUAAAUUUUGUCUUCUUUGGAGUAGUUAGGGUUUCUCUUAGAAAGGCUUAUAGAAAAAAAAAAUCUAUCUAUAAAGAUUCUGACAAAGUCAGGAAAUCACAGUGAAAAAGUAGGAGGUAUUGUUAGGCAGUUAUGUUACAUUGUAUGCUUUAAUACUAGCAAGGAAAAUACUGGAAAAGAGAAAGAAAAAAGUAUCUAACCAACUUGAAAACUUAAAAAAAAAUAUUAUGCUUACAGUCAGAGAGACAAUUUCAAGAGUACGUGGCUGAAAAACAUGAAACGUGGUUGUUUUAAAAUACAAUGCAAUAGAUACAUCUGGAAAAGACAUGAGUUUACCAGAUUUGCUAGUCAGCAAAGUAUUCUUUAUGUUGCAGUCAUUUCUAGCCUUACUUUUUAAUUUGAAACAUAUUUGUAUCCAGGGAUAGGUUCUUGGGAAUGCACUGUGUUGUUUUGGUUUGGUUUUUUAAAUGAUCUUUUGAUAAGAAGAGCCCUGCACAGUAUGGAGUUUGUGCCCUCUCUUUCUGAGUCUUUUGCUUGCAAAAGGAUAUGAGCGAACGAGGAGUCCAUAGCACAAAGAAUGCAACAGAUCUGAACAUCCCAGUAAUGCAGAAAGAAUAGUUAGGGUAGGAAAAGCUGAUCAAGUGUCAGGACUUAAAAGAGAAGAGCUUAUUCUGUGCUGGUGUAAAUUAGGAGAUUAACAGAUAUAGAGGACUUGUUGGUGCUGCAGAAACGGUGUGUUGUUCUUAAUCUACCCUGCCAUGAUCUGAAACUGUGGCCCUUUCUGGAUAGUGAGAUUGAGGAAAGCCUAGGGAAUGAUGCUCAGAGAGGAGAAGCUGUGCUCUGGCAGAGAGCAUCAAGAGAAGCUUUUCCCAACUGGUGAAACCUUCCAAACAAGCUUGUAUAAUUGAGGACCAGUGUCGGAUUAGUUUAGGAAAGACCUUGUGACUGCAUCGCUUUUAUGGAAAAGAAUAAUUUUCUCUUUUUGAACUUAUUGCAUUUGUUGUGCAAGUUUUCCUACCAAGAAUAAACUUGGUAUUUGGUAA